UACGGGGGGGGCAAGCGUUGUUCGGAAUUACUGGGCGUAAAGCGUGCGCAGGCGGUUUUGUAAGCCAGAUGUGAAAUCCCCGGGCUUAACCUGGGAAUGGCAUUUGGGACUGCAAAGCUUGAGUGUGGCAGAGGGGACUGGAAUUCCUGAUGUAGCAGUGAAAUGCGUAGAGAUCAGGAGGAAUACCGAUGGCGAAGGCAGGUCCCUGGGCUGACACUGACGCUCAUGCACGAAAGCGUGGGGAGCAAACAGG
rnacentral:rRNA from 1 species